CCCACAGAUGCACCCAGCCUGUCUCAGUGUCCAAUGAAAACCUGGGGGAGAGGCAUGUGACAGGACAAUAACAAACCCCAGCAUUCAACAAAUGAAACGUAUUUAAUUAUAAUACUUUUCAAUCAUCCCCUUUGAUAAAAGAAAUGACAGAAUACCCAAUGGUGCUGGCUGUUGCUGUGUGCUGAUUGACCAGCAGGAGUGGGCAGUGGUGGAAAUGGUGAGGGCCAGGAAUGACAUACAGCUGUCUGAAGUAAAGCAAGUCAUUGAGAGAAACGAUGACACCUUUGCUAAUGUGGCAUCCGUCAGCCUAUCAACAAUCGCCCGUCUUUUGAAGAGGCACCAUGUAUCUUAAAACACAUUUACCUGGUGCCUUUUGAGAGUGAAACAACUGCAGGCUGAGUAUGUUCAGAGUGUGAUGGUGCUUGAUGCUGCUGUGAACCAUCACAAGUAUAUCUUUGUUGAUGAAGCGGGAUUUAACCUGGCUAAAACUUUGGAGCUGUUAGUGGAAACUCAUCGGUCAACGGGCGACCGUUCAAGUGCCUGGACAACGUGGGGGAAACCUCUCCAUGUUCGCAGCUAUCUCUGAAGAUAUACCUGCCCCCAUACUAUCCUUUCCUCAACCCUAUUGGAUCAUUUUUUUUCAGCAUGGAGGUAGAAGGUAUAGGAUCGCCAUCCCCAUGAGCUUGCCACCCUGCUUCUGGCCAUGGAUGAGGUAUGAGGCGACAUCAAUGCAGACCAAUGUCAAGCUUGGAUUUGUUAUACCAAAAGGCUUUUCCCGAAGACAUUCACUGUGAGGUGGAUGAGAAUUUAUGGCCAAAUGCUCAAAACAGAUUAAUGCGGGCUAAACGUUAUGUUUUAUUUUCAUUCAUUUAAUUUGUUUUAUUCAAUUUCCUACAUUUGAUUACAGACAGUACACCAAUGUUGCAAUUAUAUCAAAACAAAAAAAAAACGGUGUAAUCUACUGUACUUUACAGUACCAUAGCAUAUUACUUUCAGCACAUUUUUCUUUUGUGAACAAUUGUUUUUUAUUGGGUCUGUGAGAGAAAAAUGUGGUAUUUACCUGAUUUGUUUGAUAUUAAUAGUUGGCAAUUAAUACUUAACAAAUGGGAAGACAUUUCUGUCCUACUAAUGCUGUGUUUUUAUGGUCUCCACUCUAGUUCCCUACAGCUAAUCUGGACGUACUGUCCCUAAAGAUGGCUUGAGCUGACAAAUGAGUUAAAGACUGCAUUACAUAGAGAAGAAUGGGUUUUACUAGAUAUAGCUUAGGAGUAGAACAAUCCCUCAUUGUCUCAAAAUCACCCUUGCAAAUGGGAAACUAAGCCAGGGUGGGGUUAAGACAACAACAUACGUGCAGAUAAUGACAGGAUGAACCCAGAGUGGCUUAUGAUGACCCAAUCUGCAUAGGAGGGGUUGAACAAACCAUGACUAAGCAUUCUUAGUGUCAGCUAUAUAAAGAACUCUGCGUAAACUCUGUGUAAAGGUUAGGCUACUCGGCCCAACAGUCAAGAUUGUUGGCUUGACUAGUCUCAUUAUUGCAAUAAUUCAUCAAUAUUAAAUAAAGAUGAUUGUUUGAA